AAGUUAGAUUAUGAAUGUCCCUUGGGGAGACUGACUUCGCCAACUUCAGGGAAUAUAGAUAGACAGACCUGUCUGGAAAAGAAAAAGGAGAUCACUAAGUGAUUUACAGGAACUGACUGAACAUUGUCCUUAUGUUUACCCUCUUCAAACAAAGCCCCAUACAGACUUUUCCAGACAGAUGUUUUUAUUUCGCAGUUGCACCUCUACAUUUCAC